ensembl:lncRNA
CCGGCCGCCGUGUUGGCGCAGGCGCGGGACGGGCGCUGAGGACGGCGGCUGAGGAGCCGGCAGUCCCCGGCGGGGGCAGCUCGGGGAUGGCGGAGAGAAGCUGAGCUCAGCGUGUGCGCCAAUCCCGAGAACUGGGACACUGGAACGAGGGACGGACCCAGCCCGGCUGCAGAGCUGCCAAUGGGAUGGCCGCGGUGGUUGUCGUGGGCAGAAGCGUGCCACCUGGGGCAUUGCUCCUAGACUCAGCAAUGCCUGUUUCCAGUCUCGCCCUCUUACGGCAGAGAGCAAUUUGGGCAGGUCAUGGUUUUAACUGCAGCGCAGCAGCGCAUCGCAAUCAGACCAGGACGGGCUGCGUUCCUCCGUGCUGCCAUCGGCCGUACAAGCGGCUGCCUCGCGUUGUGCCAGGGGAGGUCAGGCUGGGUAUUAGGAAACAUCCCUUCUCAGAAAGAGCGGUGAGGCGCUGCACAGCUGCACAGGGAGGUGGGGAAUCACCGUCCCCGGAGGUGUUCAGAGCUGUGGAGAUGUGGCACUGAGGGACGUGGGCAGUGAGCAUGGUGCGGUGGGCUGGGGUUGGACCUGGGGAUCUCAGGAUCUCAGGGAUCUCAUUUCCAAUCUGAAUGAUUCCAUGAUUCCAUUAACUAAACACGUCUGCAUCCAAAUCUACGAGAAUUUGUGGUUGGUGAAGGACCAAGGAAGUUUGCUGCAGCAAACAACACCUAAGUGGCAUUCUUCACAUCAAUGUUGCUUUCCUUCUGAGCUUUCCUCUGCUCUGGGAGACUUAGCAAUACCAGCCCAAAUAGCCACAUCACUUGGGAGUGGUUUUAAACUGAGACAGGAGAGGUUUAGGUUGGAUAUGAGGAGGAAGUUUUUCACACAGAUGGUGGUGAGGCACUGAACAGGUUGCCCAAGGAGGCUGUGGAUGCCCCAUCCCUGCAGGCAUUCAAGGCCAGGCUGGAUGUGGCUCUGGGCAGCCUGGUCUGCUGGUUGGCAACCCUGCACAUAGCAGGGGGUUGGAACUGAUGAGCAUUGUGGUCCUUUUCAACCCAAGCCAUUCUGUGAGUCUGUGAUUCUAUGAUAUGAUCAUUUUUUCAGCCAGUUCUCUCAAAACAUGACAAUGCAGCCUGCAUGGCCAAACUGGACAUUCAGGUGUCCAUCUUUCACAGAUGUUUUUAACAUCAUACUUCACUACUGGUCAGAAAGGUGUUUCACUGGCAGCACACCAAUGAAGCAUCCUGCAGUCUGGGCUGGAGAAUAGAAACAUUUACUGAUUACAUACACAUUCUUAUCAUCAUUGCCGACACUUUUCCAUGCUUCCUUCUAGAAAAGGCUCUCUAUGAUUCCUUGCACUGUUUUUAUUUCUAGUAAGGAUGUAUUUACAUCAUAUCUCAGCCUGUAUAAAUUGCCUGGUGUUCUUCAUGCCUGAUUCCUCAAGUUAUUCCAAAUUGCUGGACUGUUUCACGGUGAUUCUAACGCUUACAGCAGAACACUGCAUUAAACCAUGCAUAGAUACAUCAAAUAAGGAAGCUUACUUAAUUUUCUUCAUUAGUGCUUUUCUGUGAUGCUUCCACUUCAUGGUAUUUUUGCUGGUCCGUGAAGACAGUGGCAUUGCUUCAAUGCUAAGGGACUAAGAUACACUGAAAGAGUUAGUAAUACUUUAAACUAAUGAUGUUUUCUGAAAAUAUCCUGAAUUUCCAUUCUCACCUCAAUUUUCUGCCUGUCAGACUUAUGCAGGGCCAUAGAAGUGAGUAAAAUCAGAAGGAAAAGAUAGCUACUGAAGUCCGUAUUACAGGAUAGAGGGAUGGGAGCGAACAUCUCCUGUUUGCUGACAUCAGUCCUUUGGAUCAAGUCCUACACUGUUUCUAGUGAUAUUACUGUAAAUAGCCAUGUAGUAUUAAAAAAAGGGGGGGAACGAGAUCUGUGUGACAGCACUGAGUGCUUAUGUUUGCUCAUACAAAGAGAAAACAAAAAACAUUUCCCAUUUUUAUUCCUUCACCGGUGGAAGAUGUAGUAAUUGAGUCCAUCACGGGGCAUUUUGCAUGAUGAGCAAUAAGGGCUGUUGCUGAAGGUCACUGUGCUGGGCUGUUGUGUGGGAUAUAAACACAAGGUCUCUGCCCGCAGAAGCAGUACCACAGCCUGCCAGGAGGUGCUGCUUUGAAACCAUGCAAACAUCAGAGCUGAAAAGUCAUGAAAAGAGGCUCGCAUUAUUAAAAGCGACUGACGGAUUGGUUGUUCUGGCAGUGAGAACUCCGGGUCCUUAAUUUGGAACGAUGAUUUUUGUUUAAGAUAAGUAAAAUUCUAAAAUGGUUUGUACGGGCAGAGCAGUACAGAGGAAAAUAAAUGCUGACCGGGGCACCAACCUGAAAGAACACUCUGUGGUUUUGUAUAUUGCU